UUAGAUGGUAAAUUGGGCCUGGGAUGGUCCCUGCAAAGCCACCACAUAUCAGACAAAAACUUUUCCUGUCAUGCUAAGGAGAUGGAGGACGGAGCAACUUGAAAGGCAUUACCUAUGUAUGUAUGUAUGUGUAAGAGGGUAAGGGCACAGCAUCAGGAUCAGUUGGAACAGGAAACUGGAGCACGAUAUUCUCGGGGUCAAGCCCAUGUGCGUUUGAGAUGUCCCACAUUAGAUGACAAUUCCUCCACUGUGGCUAGAAGGGGAAACACUCAUAUAGGCACGUAGCACAUACGGUGUAGUAUAAGGGAGCGUCAGGGUCCUUCUCCAUCACCUUGAUGCCAGCUACCUCAAUUCUCUCAUAUGUUAUCGGAUUUUACAUCUCCAUGCCACAGCCUAAAGUGUGUAUGGCUCACAUGUGGUAAGUUUGAUUGCAUCUUGGAAUACUAGGGUCUGCAGUAUACCUACAACUAGUGUCUCAAUUCUUUAACUAUCAUUUGUUGUAACAAUAACUUUUUGUUUUUGAAAGGAAUGGGCACAGCUAUAAGAUCAGGUCUAGCGACGCACGAGUGGUUUAUGAGGGACUUAGAGGUCUACCUGAUGUAUGCUAGCUAUAGCUUUCCUGUAGGGUUCUGCUUCUUGGGCAAGCUGCCAUGCCUUUAGAUGUCUAAUUUUACGUUUAGGUCUGUUUCGAAUAGGAGUAGAGUAGGCUGACCAGAAUAGUCAGCCUACUAUACUAUAAUACUAUACUAAAACUACUAUACUACUAUACUAAAAUAUAUAUACUGUCAGGUUCUGGUUCUGUUUUUGGUUUUAUUUUGUAAGGACGCUGUUCAUCAGCCAUAUAUUCAUGUUUUGGGUUUCCAUUUCCUGUUUUAUUUUGGUAGUCUCCCGGUUUCUUUGUUUUUGUUCUAGCACGUCACAGCUGUUCCUGCUUCACCCGGUCAUUGUACACACCUGCACUUCAUCAGUAAUCACUCACCUUGCAUUUAAGCCUCGGUCAUACUUCUAUAAACAACACUUCACUACACUGAUUCAGAUACACCCCCCCCCCCCCCCUCCCCUCCUUACAGUCUCACUGUCUGCUCUCCGACCUUAUCUAUCUGUCCUGAUGAACCCAAGGAAAAAAUUCCAGCAAGGUUUCCACUUGUACUGUGUGAUACUGUAUGUGUGUGCGUUUUAUUACUGUUUGUACUGCAAUUUGCUUCCACUGUCGGACUAGCGCCGGGUAACCUGGCUGCUGAUGGGAAUUUCCCCGCUGUGGGACUAAUAAAGGCAUUCUUAAUCUUCUUAAUCUUAAUCUA
rnacentral:lncRNA from 1 species